GGGAUAAACGCUGGCGGCGUGCCUAACACAUGCAAGUCGAACGCGCUUUCGGGCUUCGGUGCGAGAGCGAGUGGCGGACGGGUGAGUAACACAUGGGUACCUACCUUGGAGUGAGGGAUACCGGCGAGAAAUCGCCGACAAUACCGCAUAGGCUUCUUCACAAGGGAAGCAAAGUGACGCGAGUCACGCUUUGAGAUGGGCCUGUGGCCGAUUAGCUAGUUGGGGGGGUAACGGCUUCCCAAGGCGACGAUCGGUAGCUGGUCUGAGAGGACGAUCAGCCACACUGGGAUUGAGAACGGCCCAGACUCCUACGGGGGCAGCAGUGAGGAAUUUUCCGCAAUGGAGGCAACUCUGACGGAGCAACGCCGCGUGCAGGAGGAAGGUUUUCGGAUCGUAAACUGCUUUUCUCGGGGACGAGCAAGGACGGUACCCGAGGAAGAAGCCCGGCUAACUACGUGCCAGCAGCCGC
rnacentral:rRNA from 1 species